UGAAGAGUUCAUGGUAAAUGGUGUCAAGCAUAUGCGAAUGAAUUUUUAUAUUCAGAGUCCCCACAAAGUAGGAACAGUGUAUGCUGAAAUAAAACAGGAGCCAGACAGGGAAAGUGAAUACGUAUACCUUAUUGUAGAACUGAAGGGGUUUCCCAGCAAAACUAUAGUCAUAGUGGACAAGAGAUGAUUGAGUUGGAAUCCAAAGAAUUUAAUGAGAAACAUGCAAUGUUUAGGUGUAUUCUGUAUAUAUUAUAUUAUUAUCAAGGCAUGGAAGGAAUAAUUCAGUCCCUUCAAUUGUGAGCCAGCUGCAAAAUUAAAAUUUUAACAUUUAAAUUGAAGAAAUAUACUCUUUGAGACUUCAAGAUUUCAUUGAAAUCAGAAUUGCUUACUAGUGUCACAUAAUACAUUGAAAUGUAUAUGAGGUACAUUUAUAAACUGCAUCUGGUGCUGAGAAGGUGCAAUAAAAUUGCAACAAAUCAAAA